UCCCUGGUGGCCUAGUGGUUAAGGACUCAGCAUUGUCACUGCUGUGGCGCAGGUUCCAUCCUUGGCCCAGGGA
rnacentral:tRNA from 1 species